rnacentral:snoRNA from 14 species
GGGGGGCACAGAGUUGCAAGUGAUUGAAACUAAAUCAUCUGCGCUAAGUUGUCCCGAAAUGGUGUUUCGGAUUUUAAGAAAAUGAUGCUUGCUUCAUGAAGUGUCGUUGAUAUCUAUUCGAACAAUU